rnacentral:rRNA from 1 species
CAGCAGCCACGGUAAUACGUAGGUGGCAAGCGUUGUCCGGAAUUAUUGGGCGUAAAGGGCUCGCAGGCGGUUUCUUAAGUCUGAUGUGAAAGCCCCCGGCUCAACCGGGGAGGGUCAUUGGAAACUGGGAAACUUGAGUGCAGAAGAGGAAAGUGGAAUUCCACGUGUAGCGGUGAAAUGCGUAGAGAUGUGGAGGAACACCAGUGGCGAAGGCGACUCUCUGGUCUGUAACUGACGCUGAGGAGCGAAAGCGUGGGGAGCGAACAGGAUUAGAUACCCCAGUAGUCCCUGUCUCUUAUAC